UACGAAGGGGGCUAGCGUUGCUCGGAAUUACUGGGCGUAAAGGGCGCGUAGGCGGCACUGUUAGUCAGGCGUGAAAGUCCUGGGCUCAACCUGGGAACUGCGCUUGAUACGGCAGAGCUAGAGGAUGGAAGAGGCUCGCGGAAUUCCCAGUGUAGAGGUGAAAUUCGUAGAUAUUGGGAAGAAUACCGGUGGCGAAGGCGGCGAGCUGGUCCAUUACUGACGCUGAGGCGCGACAGCGUGGGGAGCAAACAGG
rnacentral:rRNA from 1 species